rnacentral:rRNA from 1 species
UACGUAGGGGGCUAGCGUUGUUCGGAUUUACUGGGCGUAAAGGGCGCGUAGGCGGCGUGGUAAGUCACUUGUGAAAUCUCCGAGCUUAACUCGGAACGGUCAAGUGAUACUGUCGGACUAGAGUACAGAAGGGGCAACUGGAAUUCUCGGUGUAGCGGUGAAAUGCGUAGAUAUCGAGAGGAACACCUGCGGCGAAGGCGGGUUGCUGGGCUGAUACUGACGCUGAGGCGCGAAAGCCAGGGGAGCGAACGGG